AUCUCAAGUCAUGUGAGAGUACCCGCUGAACUUAAGCAUAUCAAUAAGCGGAGGAAAAGAAACUAACAAGGAUUCCCCUAGUAACGGCGAGUGAAGCGGGAAGAGCACAAAUUUAAAAUCUACCUGGUUUUCAGGUCGAGUUGUAAUUUGAAGAUACGUUUUUGACGUUCAGGGUUGGACUAAAUCCUUUGGGAUAAGGUAUCAUGGAGGGUGAGAAUCCCGUAUAUACCAACCAUAGGGAUGUUAUUUAAUACGUUUCUAAGAGUCGAGUUGUUUGGGAAUGCAGCUCUAAAUGGGUGGUAAAUUUCACCUAAUGCUAAAUAUAAGCGAGAGACCGAUAGCGAACAAGUACAGUGAUGGAAAGAUGAAAAGAACUUUGAAAAGAGAGUUAAAUAGUACGUGAAAUUGUUGAAAGGGAAACGAUUGAAGUCAGUCAUGCCGGUGGGAAUCAACUUAGGGGAAACUCUAAGUGCACUUCUUCGCUUGGCAGGUCAACGUCGAUUUUGGAUGUCAUAAAAUGAUUGGGGGAAGGUAGCUCCUUAGGGAGUGUUAUAGCCCUUGGUAGAUGUGAUGUCUGGGAUCGAGGAUUGCAAUGGAUACCCUUUGGGGCUAGCUGCCUGAUCUCUAAUUGGUAUUGGGUUACGGAUAGCAUGCUGACCGUGAUCUAAUUAUUGGUUAAAAGGUUAGAGCGUGCAUAAAUUCAUUAAGGACGUUGACGUAAUGGCUUUAAACGACCCGUCUUGAAACACGGACCAAGGAGUCUAACAUGUAUGCGAGUG
rnacentral:rRNA from 1 species